AACUCCUGACCUCAGGUCACCAACCUGCCUCGGCCUCCCAAAGUACUGGGAUUACAGGACAAGGACCACAUCUCAUUUUAUCCGUCAUCUAUCACAGCACACUUUCUACGUCCCAGGCACGUAGCAGUCUCGCUAUUUAAAUCACAUCUACCACUGUCUGCCCAUGAGGAGUCAUGCCAAGGGGCUGCUUUGCCCAUUCAGCUGGGAGAUCCGAAGAGCAGGUGAAGAGCUGUGAACAGUGGAGCCGGGCCUGAUGUCAGAGGUCAUUGAGGAAAAGCACCAAUGUCACAAGCCCGCUGCUACAGUAAGAAACCUGGGGGUCCCACGGUCUUUUACCCUUAAUACCAAGACUUGAAAACCCUUCGCUUAAAAUUUGAA